GUGCUCGCUUUAGCAGCACAUAUACUAAAAUGGGAACAAUACAGAGAAGAUUAGCAUGGCCCCUACAUAAGGACGACACGAAAAUUCGUGAAGCGUUCCAUAUAAAA